rnacentral:rRNA from 1 species
GUCCUUUUGAUUUAUUUUGAAGGUCUGCCCUGCCCAGUGAUUGAUUUUAACGGCCGCGGUAUUUUGACCGUGCAAAGGUAGCAUAAUCAUUAGUCUUUUAAUAGGAGGCUGGUAUGAAGGGGUUGACGAAGUAUUAACUGUCUCAUAAUUAAUUUAUUAAAAUUUAAUUUUUUAGUUAAAAGGCUUAAAUUUUGUUGGAAGACGAGAAGACCCUAUAGAGCUUUACAUUUUAUUUUAUAUUUUUAUUUGUUAAUAAUUUUAUUUUAUCAUAUAAAUUGUUUUGUUGGGGUGACGAAAAUAUAUGAUUAACUAUUUUAUUUUUCUUACAUUUAUUUAUGAUAAGUAGAUCCAUUAUUAUUGAUUUUUAGACUAAGUUACCUUAGGGAUAACAGCGUAAUCUUCUUUGGGAGUUCUUAUUUAUGAGAAGGCUUGCGACCUCGAUGUUGGAUUAAGAUAAUAGUUUGGUGUAGCAGCUUUAUUAAUAGGUCUGUUCGACCUUUAAAUUCUUACAUGAUCUGAGUUCAGACCGG